GAUGAACGCUGGCGGCGUGCCUAAUACAUGCAAGUCGACCGAACGGACGAGAAGCUUGCUUCUCUGAUGUUAGCGGCGGACGGGUGAGUAACACGUGGAUAACCUACCUAUAAGACUGGGAUAACUUCGGGAAACCGGAGCUAAUACCGGAUAAUAUUUUGAACCGCAUGGUUCAAAAGUGAAAGACGGUCUUGCUGUCACUUAUAGAUGGAUCCGCGCUGCAUUAGCUAGUUGGUAAGGUAACGGCUUACCAAGGCAACGAUGCAUAGCCGACCUGAGAGGGUGAUCAGCCACACUGGAACUGAGACACGGUCCAGACUCCUACGGGAGGCAGCAGUAGGGAAUCUUCCGCAAUGGGCGAAAGCCUGACGGAGCAACGCCGCGUGAGUGAUGAAGGUCUUCGGAUCGUAAAACUCUGUUAUUAGGGAAGAACAUAUGUGUAAGUAACUGUGCACAUCUUGACGGUACCUAAUCAGAAAGCCACGGCUAACUACGUG
rnacentral:rRNA from 1 species